CUUGGCGACAGAGUGAGACUCCGUCUAAAAAAAGAAAAAGAUAAAGAAAAAGAAAAAAAGAACACUUCGGCCCUGGCACAUUCCUUGGAUCAGAGGUCAUGCAAGGAACCAAGCUCUUUUGUUUUGGGCUAGGUGAAGGUUUCCUGGCAGAGGUUGCUAAGUGGAGGUUGCUCUGGGAAAAAUAUCAUAUAACCUGCAUGCAUUUGACAAACAGGAGGGGAUUUCUUGUCUCGCCUGCUGCUCCUGGGCUCCCUAGUUCCUUUACAGGGUUCCUGAACUGUGGUAAAUAAAGAAAAUCACUUUCUAACAGGCCCGGGAAGCCCAAGUGAUCAUGGAGCCUCGAAAAGAAAGGAACUCAUCCAAUUCAUACAGAAAUGAAAACUGUCCUUUUACUAAGCCCUGCAAACGGAAGACGGAAUACUUUGUGUUACAGAAUUCAGACCAACGCCGUGACUGGAGAUUCAUUUGCUUCUACACUGUUUUCUCCAAAAGAUGUUGAAGAACAAAGAGAAAAUGUGAAAGGAAAAAUCAAAUCUCGGGGCCCCAAACUCACUAUGCCAGUGCAGCCAGUUAAGCUUGGAAACAGAGCCACUCCAAAAUCUGCCUUUGUUUUGGUUUCUAAACAGAUAUUUGCAAAGAUGGAAGGCAACAUAUAUCCCAGUUGGCCUGCCUCACAAAUUCCUCACAAGGAAAAGCCUUGUAAGUCCCCAGAUUUUUACCCUGAGACAGACUUUGUAUAAUUUCACUGUGACAAUGCAAAUUGACAACUUAUCUGGACUGGUACAUAACGAUGACAAGACCGGAAGUGACCCUUCUGCCCACCCUCAGACAAAUGCACAUAUGCCUACUUCCUCUAGUUUCUGUUUAUUUUUAUCUAAUAGAAAAUGUAGAUUAACUGUGCACGAGAUGAAUGAAUAAUGGACUGUUCCUCUAACCCCCUUUCACAUGGAACCUGUGGAUUCAGGGAGGGUCAAUCAAAGCCUCACAAAAAUGUGACCACUCAGUUCAUUACCUAUCCUGUCUUUUUUCCUUUCCUCCUACCACUCCUGCCUGAUUUUACACAUUUAAAUGUUGAAGCCCUCAAAAGGCCCUGUGAAUAGUGAGUGGGCCCCAGAUCCUCCUGUGACUUGUGUGUCUUUUUCCUGGGUGCAUCCUCAAACUUGGCAGAGUAAACCUCUAAACUGACUGAGAUGUGUCUUAGACCCUCUUUGGUUUACAAGUCUUGCCUCCUCCCUGAGUUGCUGGAUGAAAGCAACUUCCUCUCUUCUUGCCUCAGUUUCCUCAUCUGAAAACUCAGAUCAUAAUCCUGGUCCAUUGAGGGGAUGAUUAUAAAAUUCAAUCAAAUGGAGAAGUA